rnacentral:lncRNA from 1 species
ACACUCCUGGCCAUUUAUCCAGGAAAAUGAAAAUCUAUGUCCACACGAAAACUCAGAAACACUACUCAGAGAUUUAAAAAGAACAACCUGUUGAUAUACUCAGCACCUUGGGUAGAUCUCAAGAGAAUCUGCCUGAUUUUUUUCUUUAAAGCCAAUCUCAAAAGGUUCUGUACUAUAUCAUUCCAUUAUAAAGCAUUCCUUUUUUUGUUUUUUUGGUUUUUUGAGACAGAGUCUUGCCUUGCUCUGUCACCCAGGCUGGAGUGCAGUGGCGCGAUCUCGGCCCUCUGCAGCCUCUACCUCCUGGGUUUCAGCGAUUCUCCAGCCUCAGCCUCCUGAGUAGCUGGGAUUACAGGCGUGUGCCACCACGCCUGACCAAUUUUUGUAUUCUUAGUAGAGACAGUGUUUCACCAUGUUGGCCAGGCUGGUCUCGGACUCCUGACCUCAGGUGAUCCACCCGCCUUGGCCUCCCAAAGUGCUGGGAUUACAGGCGUGAGCCACGGCGACCAGCCAAAACAUUCUUGAAAUGACAAAAUUCUAGAGAUGGAGAGCAGAUGAGUGACUGCCAGGGGUUAGGAUGAGAUGAGUGGAGGAAGGGUGUGAUUAUAAAGGAGUGAGUAUCACAAGGAAUCUCUGUGGUGAGGCACCAGCUCUGUAUCUUGAUUGCAGUGGUGAUUACAUGAUCCUACGCCUGCUAAAACCGCAUAGAAUUAUAUACACACACAAAUGUAUGCAUGUAAAAUUGGUAAAAUCUGAAUAAAGUCUGGAUUAUACCAAUGUCGGUUUUCUGGUUUUGAUAUUGUACUGUAGUUAUGUCAGAUGUUACCACUGGGGGAAACUGAGUGAAUGUUCCCAAGAUUUCCCAUGUACUAUUUUUGCCACUUCCUCUGAAUGUCAGUAAUUACUUGAAAAGAAGCUUAAAAACAAAAACAGAGCUCACUUGUUUCAGAUUCAGAUCUCUUCCAGGUCUCACCCCGAAACCUGCAUAGCCACCAACUAGUAAAAGUCUGUUAUAAUAUAGCUUCAAAGGCUAGAGUUAGCUUUAUCCCCAGAUCCCAGCGAUGCACCACAUGUUGUCACUUGGACUAUAAAAAUAGUAUUGUCAGCAAGAAAAGGCAAGCAGAUUGUCACCUUCUGAGGCACUUAUACCAGAAAAAUAAUGCCACCUGAAUGCCUAUGAAUAAAUAACCAUUUCUUUCUAGGGUUGAAGUUAUAUUUUCAGGGUUCUCUUUAAUUAUUUUGGGUUAUACAUGUGUCAUUAAGCAAUGCUUUAUAUAAUACACUGAUUUUAAGUUACAUAUUGCACAUUUAUCUCCAGGGUGAAUUUGUAAAUGAAUACGUCGGUGAAUUAAUUGAUGAAGAAGAAUGCAGAUUGCGAAUCAAGCGAGCCCACGAGAACAGUGUAACUAAUUUUUAUAUGUUAAC